UAACUCUGGAGAGCUGUAAUUUGAAAGGGGGGCCUUUGAAGCAUUUACCUUACAUGGGACGCUAUUGUCACUGCAGGGUGUUUGAUCUUAAAAUAAUUUACUUAAUGAUCUCACCAUGGGAGCAAUUGGCAGAGCAAGAUUAGGCUGUAAGGCCUAAUGGACAUGGGAAAAGUUAAAAUUGCUCGGAGAAAGGUAAAAGCUAUGAAUUCACAAGCUCACUCUUAGAACCUUCCAAUCUACCAGUGACCUGGAUGUCAAGAAGCACUUGACCUUCACAGGCAGCAGGUGCUGAGCCAUCUCCUGAGCCCACACAGCAAGGAGGCAACUGCCCUGCCAGUCCCAGCGUUCAUGCUACAGGAGGAGUCACAAGAGAGGGAUGAAAAAGAGCAAAGUCAAGGUCAAGCCACUUACCUACCUCUCCCCGCCAGCUCCCUCCCUCCUUGCACUGAUUACUGUCCUGUGUUUCAGAGGUAUUCCUGCUGGCCUAGAACCAUCAUCUCAUCCAGAAGACACAUAAAUUCCACCCAGAGUGAAGUCUGCUCAGAUCCAUCUGUCUCCUUACUAUUUCAACCAAUGUAUUCCCUCUUACAAAAAAAAGUGCACUCAGGUUGGAAAAGUGUGGAAAGAGCAGGUGAACUCACUGUCAGUGGCCAUAUUAUCCCUCACUGUUCAUUGUCUUCAUCACUAAGACCCACCAGGCAAAUCUUUUUGUGUAUUAAGGAAGGAAAUCGGAAGCUGUCUCCAUUGUCUUCUAAACACCAUAAUUAG
rnacentral:lncRNA from 1 species